ACUAAUCCUAGCCCACANNNNNNNNNNNNNNNNNNNNNNNNNAUCUAAUCAAGUCAAAUAAAACAUUCACCCUCAUUAAAAGUAUAGGAGAUAGAAAUUUUCAACUGGAGCUAUAGAGCUAGUACCGUAAGGGAAAGAUGAAAGAAACAAUUAAUAGUAAAACAAAGCAAAGACUAAACCUUCUACCUUUUGCAUAAUGAAUUAACUAGAAAGAACUUUACAAAAAGAAUUUAAGCUAAGUACCCCGAAACCAGACGAGCUACUUAUGAGCUGCUAUCAGAGCUAAUCCAUCUAUGUUGCAAAAUAGUGGAAUGACUUAUAAGUAGAGGUGAAAAGCCUACCGAGCCUGGUGAUAGCUGGUUAUCCAGAUAAGAAUUUCAGUUCAACUUUAAAUUUACCCUAAGCACUCAUAAUCUAAAUGUAAAUUUAAUUGUUAGCCUAAAGAGGGACAGCUCUUUAGUCACAGGAAAAAACCUUUAUUAGAGAGUAAAAUAUCUAACUUCCAUAGUUGGCCUAAAAGCAGCCAUCAAUUAAAAAAGCGUUCAAGCUUAACCNNNNNNNNNNNNNNNNNNNNNNNNNNNNNNNNNNAACUCCUAAUUUAACACUGGAUUAAUCUAUAAAUACCUAUAGAAGCAAUAAUGUUAAUAUUAGUAACAAGAAAAAGAUUUCUCCCUGCAUAAGCUUAUAUCAGCUCGAAUAAAUCACUGAUAGUUAACAAACCUAUAAUCUAACUCAAAAAUCUCAAUCAUUAUAUUUACAAUGUUAACCCAACACUGGUAUGCACCUAAGGGAAAGAUUAAAAAAAGUAAAAGGAACUCGGCAAACACAAACCCCGCCUGUUUACCAAAAACAUCACCUCUAGCAUUAAUAGUAUUAGAGGCACUGCCUGCCCAGUGACAUAUGUUUAACGGCCGCGGUAUCCUGACCGUGCAAAGGUAGCAUAAUCAUUUGUUCCUUAAAUAGGGACUUGCAUGAAUGGCCAAACGAGGGUUUAUCUGUCUCUUACCUUUAAUCAGUGAAAUUGACCUUCCCGUGAAGAGGCGGGAAUAAAUAAAUAAGACGAGAAGACCCUAUGGAGCUUAAAUUUAUUAGCCCAAGUAUUACAAUAUUANAAUCUACAAGAGAUAAAAUCACUACUCAUGGACUAAAAAUUUUGGUUGGGGUGACCUCGGAGCACAACUUAACCUCCGAAUGAUUUUAAUUUAGACUUUAACCCGUCCAAAUUCUAAUUCAUAAAUUGACCCAAAUCAUUGAUCAACGGAACAAGUUACCCUAGGGAUAACAGCGCAAUCCUACUCAAGAGUCCAUAUCGACAGUUAGGGUUUACGACCUCGAUGUUGGAUCAGGACAUCCAAAUGGUGCAGCAGCUAUUAAUGGUUCGUUUGUUCAACGAUUAAAGUCCUACGUGAUCUGAGUUCAGACCGGAGAAAUCCAGGUCGGUUUCUAUCUAUUUAAACAUUUCUCCCAGUACGAAAGGACAAGAGAAAUAGGGCCUAUAUUCUAAACAUGCCCUAAGACCAAAUAGAUGAAAUAAUAUCAAUCUAAUAAACUAUUUACACACACUACCCUAGAUCAGGGCUU
rnacentral:rRNA from 1 species